GCGUUAAUGGGGUAGUGGUAACCUUGGGUCUUCCCAUGGCCUAGCGCGGGGUUCGAUUCCCCGUUAACGCA